rnacentral:rRNA from 1 species
AUUGAACGCUGGCGGCAGGCUUAACACAUGCAAGUCGAGCGGAGAGAGGUAGCUUGCUACUGAUCUUAGCGGCGGACGGGUGAGUAAUGCUUAGGAAUCUGCCUAUUAGUGGGGGACAACAUUUCGAAAGGAAUGCUAAUACCGCAUACGUCCUACGGGAGAAAGCAGGGGAUCUUCGGACCUUGCGCUAAUAGAUGAGCCUAAGUCGGAUUAGCUAGUUGGUGGGGUAAAGGCCUACCAAGGCGACGAUCUGUAGCGGGUCUGAGAGGAUGAUCCGCCACACUGGGACUGAGACACGGCCCAGACUCCUACGGGAGGCGGCAGUGGGGAAUAUUGGACAAUGGGCGGAAGCCUGAUCCAGCCAUGCCGCGUGUGUGAAGAAGGCCUUAUGGUUGUAAAGCACUUUAAGCGAGGAGGAGGCUACUUUAGUUAAUACCUAGAGAUAGUGGACGUUACUCGCAGAAUAAGCACCGGCUAACUCUGUGCCAGCAGCCGCCGCAGUAA